GUUGCGCGUGCGCCUAGUCCUAAUAUUUGUUGCGUUUAGCGAUUCCCUGUGUGCAGAGUGCAGUGCAGAAAGAUAUACAAAAUGAAGUUACAUUUACAUGUAGGCAUGUAGCAUCGGUCGCUGUGUGAGUGUGUUAGUGCUAUACAAACUGUAGUAUAUUAUAACUCAUGCAACGUGACUUUUACGAUUGUGCAAACAAUUCCAAGAAUUCAAUAGUUGGCCUUGCAGGUGGUAUCAACGAGGAGUUGUGAUCAGCAUGACGAGUAUGUGGCAGAGGACUCAGCCAGGACACAUGUCCUUCGUGGUCACUACAUCUUUCCUCAUUUCGCCACCUGCCUCGAUGACUUUGGCCCAGCAGCACAUGGGUAAGAAGAUCCGUAUCAUCUACUAAAGCAGUGUCAACAACUCUACUGCAGACCUCAACUCCAGCAUCAAUCAGGAUACAACCGCCGACUCAACUACUAGUGCAGUAUCACCAAAUCACUAAAUGACUCCAACCUCUGGAAAAAGUAUAUAUACUUGAGUGUAUAUGUUAAAGUAAUUAUUUUAUCAAAAUUAUGUCUUUUCUAUAUUUUGUGCAUUUGUAGUAACAAUACGAGUUUUUUCUUUGCUUUCAUUUAGUACUUUUUUUUCGUAAUGUGCUAAUAUGUUUUUAGUUCGAGUUAAAAAGGCG